GCCGGCGCCGCCUCUCCUGCUGUUCAGGAAGCUGAGUAACCCCGACCUGUCUCCUGCCGCAGGAAAGACCAAACUGCAGCGACAGCUCAGUCAGGAUGACACCAGAGCCCGACGCUGCAGUAUGGCUGGCAUCCUCACCGGAAAGCAGCUUCUGCCUCUGUCCAGCAGCAUGCAUGGUGGAGUGAGUCAGCUGGCCUGGCAGCAGCACACAGGAGAACCCAAUAACUUGGUCCGCAUGAGGAGUCAAUCCUUUGGCCAGUCUGCCCCCUCUCUCACUGCGGGACUGGUGAGUACAUGUGCACCACGCAUGCGCACAAACCCUCUCUGUCCGCUUCCAUCCAACGCAAG
rnacentral:lncRNA from 1 species